UACGUAGGGUGCAAGCGUUGUCCGGAAUUAUUGGGCGUAAAGAGCUCGUAGGCGGUUUGUCACGUCGGCUGUGAAACCCCGAGGCUCAACCUCGGGCCUGCAGUCGAUACGGGCAGACUAGAGUAUGGCAGGGGAGACUGGAAUUCCUGGUGUAGCGGUGAAAUGCGCAGAUAUCAGGAGGAACACCGGUGGCGAAGGCGGGUCUCUGGGCCAUAACUGACGCUGAGGAGCGAAAGCGUGGGGAGCGAACAGG
rnacentral:rRNA from 1 species